UACAUGUGGGGCAAGCGUUGUUCGGAAUUACUGGGCAUAAAGGGCGCGUAGGCGGCCUUCUAAGUCGAACGUGAAAUCCCCGGGCUCAACCCGGGAACUGCGUCCGAUACUGGAAGGCUUGAAUCCGGGAGAGGGAUGCGGAAUUCCAGGUGUAGCGGUGAAAUGCGUAGAUAUCUGGAGGAACACCGGUGGCGAAGGCGGCAUCCUGGACCGGUAUUGACGCUGGGGCGCGAAAGCCAGGGGAGCAAACGGG
rnacentral:rRNA from 1 species